ensembl:lncRNA
CUCGCUUUUAUAUAAAUCUAGGGUUUCAUUUUUCUAGAUGCAGAGAGCUUAUUGUAAAUUGUAAAAGAUUGUUCAAUAACUGCUCUCCUACAAAAGAAAGCAUACUUGAAAAGUGGUUUCCGAAUGAAUUGGAGUUUUGUGCUGUCACUUGCUUUCAGCUUCCAAUUGCACUCGUGGGUCUGAAUAAUAUUAGUUCAUCUCCAGAUGUCCUUUUUGAGGUUGUAAUCAGCAUGACUCACUUGGACCACAAACAGAAGAAAGAAAAUCCUUCAGGUUUGGAACAACGCGAUGGUGAGGAAAUCAUGACAGAACUGUCAUUUUUGGAUGUUGCAAAUGGCGGAUAAUCCAGAAUCUUGGGUCUGAUGCAAGCUGGGUUUAUCCAUGGUCAUGAUACCAACAUCUGUCGUGACUUCACAGUAAGCUAGCUGAACACGAGAGAGUGUGUGAAUACUCCUUUAUUGUCGAAGAAGAAAAGCAUUCCUAAACUUCACAUAAGG